UUGUAGGACUAAUAGCUCCUGUCUUCCGUGUAUAUCAUCAGGAGCUAUUAGUCCUACAAGAUUAUUAAAAAAAAAAUAAAUAAAGGAAGAAUACAUAGAGAAGAAUAAUACACCUAGAUGAUUCAACACCUAAUUCAUGGGUACCAGCCUUAAUAGUAUAUCUUGAAAUCUUUUGCUGUUGUUCGAGGAAAAAAACAAGAGAAAUAGAGAAAUAGGGAACAAAUCACCCAAUAAAUCAUAAAGAUUGAGGAGAGAACAAAAGAGAACAAAAAGAGUUGGAGGAAGAGAAGCGAGGAAUUCCUUACUAUUCUUGAAGGGUUGGGAUCUUCGACGAUGUGAGUUUCAAGUGCCAUCACUGCCGAAAGAAUAAGAGGAGGAGGAGGUGGGACAAGGAAAUAUGAAUUCCAUAAUGUUCUUGGAGGGUUUGGAUCUUUGAGGAUGUGGGUUCCAAGGGCCAUAGCUGCCUUGCCCUAGGUGUGAGAAUCUCGAUGCUUUAGGGGGUUUGAUGGGAGGGAAGAGGUCAGGAUUUAUCUCACCUUAGAAGAGAUCAUCGUUUCUUGCUUCUCGACGAUAGGAAUUGAGCUGAGCUCUUAUUCAAACAGCUUCUGAUAGUGAAACGGUUGCAGAACUAAAAUAUCCUCUCGAUUAUCCCAAAUUUAUGCAAUCACUCUUGAACCUCAAGCAUGAUAUUGUCGUCGAUUCGAUCGGUUUCAGUUCGGAUUGAAUCGAAGAUACACUCGGUUUGGUCAUGGUUUAUUUUGGGAGCAUCAUUAUGCAGCUACCAACCUGAUACCUUUGUUUGUUCUGGCAUCACAUGUGCAGUGGCUAUGGUCUCGGCAUUAUACAUGCAAGUUAGCUCUGUUUCUUUGUCUUUCCUCUGAACUCAUUAGGAGUAAAGAAAGAUGUGCACAUGCCAUACUAUAUACACCAUAUUUGGUUGCCUCUAUUCUGGAGGACCAAAGGAGAUGUAAGAGGAAUAGCUCACUAUAGAAAACCAUCAAAUAGGGAACGAAAUAACAAGUUGAGUGGUUAGGAAUCUCAGCAAUCGUUUCUAUCUUCGUUUUCACGUAAUUAUAGGAAUCAAUGCAAAAGGAAAAAAAUCUAACCCUUGUAAGAGAAAUGGAAAUAUCUAGAAUGUUUUAGAGAAUUUUGAAGCUCGCUUGUUGUUAGUUUGAGAAAUUUUAUAUCAAAACCACAGAAUAUUGACAUGAAAUCUCCAAAUAAGGGCUUGGUGAAGAGUGGGAGUAAAGAUCAGACUUAAAAGAUUGGGCCUUUAUAAUAGAGGAAAAAAGAUUAAAUCUGUUUUUGAAUAUAAAGUCAUAUCUUUCUCGCAAGAGGCUAAGAGAAUGAGCGGGGGCAA
rnacentral:lncRNA from 1 species